rnacentral:rRNA from 1 species
ACUCCUACGGGAGGCAGCAGUGGGGAAUAUUGCACAAUGGGCGCAAGCCUGAUGCAGCGACGCCGCGUGGGGGAUGAAGGCCUUCGGGUUGUAAACUCCUUUCGCUAGGGACGAAGCUUUUUGUGACGGUACCUAGAUAAGAAGCACCGGCUAAUCUACGUGCCAGCAGCCGCGGUAAU